rnacentral:rRNA from 1 species
GACGAACGCUGGCGGCAGGCCUAACACAUGCAAGUCGAGCGGAGCGGCGGACGGGUGAGUAAUGCCUAGGAAUCUGCCUGGUAGUGGGGGAUAACGUCCGGAAACGGGCGCUACUACCGCAUAAUAUCAGAUGAGCCUAGGUCGGAGUGGCUAGUUGGUGGGGUAAAGGCAUACCCAGGCGACGAUCCGUAACUGGUCUGAGAGGAUGAUCAGUCACACUGGAACUGAGACACGGUCCAUACUCCUACGGGAGGCAGAAUUGGGGAAUAUUGGACAAUGGGCGAAAGCCUGAUGCAGCCAUGCCGCGUGUGUGAAGAAGGUCUUCGGAUUGUAAAGCACUUUAAGUUGGGAGGCGUUACCAACAGAAUAAGCACCGGCUAACUUCGUGCCAGCCGCCGCGGUAAUAC